rnacentral:rRNA from 1 species
CCUACGGGAGGCAGCAGUGGGGGAUCUUGCACAAUGGGGGAAACCCUGAUGCAGCGACGCCGCGUGGGUGAAGAAGCGCCUCGGCGCGUAAAGCCCUGUCAGCAGGGAAGAAAAUGACGGUACCUGAAGAAGAAGCCCCGGCUAACUACGUGCCAACAGCCGCGGUAAUACGUAGGGGGCACGCGUUAUCCGGAUUUACGGGGUGUAGAGUGGGCGCAGACGGCGAUGCAAGCCAGAAGUGAAAGCCCGGGGCCCAACCCGGGGACUGCUCUGGGAACUGCGUGGCUAGAGUGCAGGGGGGGCGGGGGGAAUUCCGGGGGGAGCGGUGAAAUGCGUAGAUAUAUGGAGGAACACCGGUGGCGAAGGAGGCCGGCUGGUCUGUAACUGACGUUGAGGCCCGAAAGCGUGGGGAGCAAACAGGAUUAGAUACCCUGGUAGUC